AUGAGCUUCCACGUGACAGUGGAACAGCCACACCCCCGGGUUGUCCGCCCGGAACCGCACCGCCGUCCACCCAUCCGGGUGCAGUGGCACCGUGUUCUUCAUGAUGGGAUCUCUCACGUUGAGCAGCCUCCAGGCGUCCGCGGCAGGGUUGAACUUACCUUCACCAUGGCCAAGCACCCAGAAGUCGUGACCAUGGAGAUGCCACGGGUGCGUCUCGCUCUUGUUAUUGAGCAUGUUGGAGUUCUGCAGCACCACGUCCACCACGGAGCCGAGCGCAAGCCGGUACACCGGGCUGCCCACGGUCCCGUUCGUCGGCGCCGGCGCGGAGAUGUCGUGGCUCAUGUGGUCGUACAUGUCGGGCGGCGGGCGUUGCUCGUACGCGUCUUUCAUGCCGCGCUUCAUCGCCACGAGGUACGGCGUGGCCGGGAACAUGAGCGACACGCCAUUGAUGGUCCACUUGAUGUGGCCAUCGAUCCGGUUCUGGGUGUUGAGGAGGAGCAGUGUGCGGUCGGCCCUCGCCGGCAUGGGCUCUACGAAGCGUGGGUGCGCGAAGAUGGCCCUGCUCUGCUCCACCCUGAUAGCCGUGUUGUUCCAUGGCGGGCCAGCCGGUGGCGCCGUGGGCGGAGGCAUCCACGGGUUGUUGCCGUUGAAGGCGUAGCUCACGACGGCCUUGCCGGUCGGUGUCUGGCUGGGGUUGCGGCCGACGACGUGGGACGCAGCCCAGUAGUUUCUCCGCGGGUCCUGGUCGGCCUUGACCAGCACGGAGUACGUCUCGCCGGAGUAGAUGAAGAGGCCCCUCACCGCGAACGGCCGCACGUAGUGCCCGUCGGCCUCCACGACCAUCAUGGAGUGGCCCUCUAUCUCGAAGUAGAGCGAUGA
rnacentral:rRNA from 1 species